UUGGCAUUUUGCUUAAGCUUUUACACCUUUAUGUUCAGUGAGUGUCUGGUUUUUUUCUAAGUAGGUUUUCCUCUAGCUUUUCUUUUGCUGAUCUGGAGAGAGAGACACACACAGACAGAGAGGCGGAACUGACUAAGGACCAGACGUCUAAGGCGCAUUGUGUGCACUAUACUGCUGAGCGGUUCCUCCAGAUACUGUUUUGCUUUUGAUAGGAUAAAAUUGAUUUAAAAAGUAGUUUAUCAGUAUUUACAUUCAUGGUAUCAUUGUCAACAUUUUAUGCUGAUAAAAACUAGGAAAUAAUGGUAAAUGCUCCAGAGUCUUGUGUAAAUACCAUCAACAUGAAAACGAAGUAUAUUAUCAAGACUAUUGAGUACAGACAGGAAAGUCAGUUUCUCGAAGUAUGCUUUAAUGUGUAGACGUACAUUUAAUACACAGAAAAUGUAUUUUUAUCAGGUUGACUAUUUUACAACAUGGGAAAAUGACGUCAUGUAUUUUUAAACAAUUUCAACUAUUGAAGGACCCAUAUUUCCUAGAAGUCUUAGGAUAUCCCUUUACAGAUCAAACAAACUUAACAUUUUUGUACAAGAAAAAACAAAACCAGUGUACUGUAACAGUGUGGGCUUAUUUUGAAUCUGAGGCGAGGUACUAAUGCUGCAGUAUUCAGCAAGUCCACAAGAUGGGGCUGUCUCACUGGAAAUUUUACUAGCAUGACUGGCCAUGAGCCCAGUGAAGUACUUUUUGCUUUCCCAUUUCUAUAGCAGGAACAUGGGGGCUGGGGGAGUGACAGUGUAAUGGAAGGUUGAAUUUCUAUUCAUUUCAUGUUUCAUUCAUUCAUUCAUUCAUUCAUUUGUGUGUGGGAGUGCCACGUGGAGACUAGGAGUUAACCUUGGAUGUCAUUUCUCAGACAUUGUCUUCCUUGGUGGUUUUGAGAGCUGUCCUUUUUUGGUUAACUAGAAGAUAAGGUUUCUCAGUAGCAUGUAACUUACCAGAAGGCUCGGCCGGCCGGCCAGUGAGCUCCAAGGAGCUGCACGCGUUUGCCUUGCCAGUGCUGAGAUUACAGGUAUGUGCCAGCAUUCACCGUGUGCAUAUGUAUUCAUGAGUAAGCAGUCUUCCCGUCAUAGGGACCUUUAUCAUCAGGGAAAAUCGAAACCGUAGUCAUGUAAGUGCACACAAUCAUAGGACGUAGUAUUUUCAGCUUUGUAGUUCCUUUGUCUUGCAGAUUUUUUGCAUGUAUGUGUGUUUGCAUCCACACAGAGUAUCUGGGUAGAGGGGUGUUGUAAGUGAUCUACUACUGAUCUUCCAGCUCGCUCCUAUUCGUUUUUUUG
rnacentral:lncRNA from 1 species